rnacentral:rRNA from 1 species
ACUGCUCAGUAACACGUAGUCAACAUGCCCAGGGGACGUGGAUAACCUCGGGAAACUGAGGAUAAACCACGAUAAGUCACUACUUCUGGAAUGGGUAAUGACUCAAAUCUACAUGGCCCCUGGAUUGGACUGCGGCCGAUCAGGCUGUUGGUGAGGUAAUGGCCCACCAAACCCGUAACCGGUACGGGCUCUGAGAGGAGGAGCCCGGAGAUGGGCACUGAGACAAGGGCCCAGGCCCUAUGGGGCGCAGCAGGCGCGAAACCUCUGCAAUAGGCGAAAGCCUGACAGGGUUACUCUGAGUGAUUUCCGUUAAGGAGAUCUUUUGGCACCUCUAAAAAUGGUGCAGAAUAAGGGGUGGGCAAGUCUGGUGUCAGCCGCCGCGGUAAUACCAGCACCCCGAGUGGUCGGGACGUUUAUUGGGCCUAAAGCAUCCGUAGCCGGUUCUACAAGUCUUCCGUUAAAUCCACCUGCUUAACAGAUGGGCUGCGGAAGAUACUAUAGAGCUAGGAGGCGGGAGAGGCAAGCGGUACUCGAUGGGUAGGGGUAAAAUCCGUUGAUCCAUUGAAGACCACCAGUGGCGAAGGCGGCUUGCCAGAACGCGCUCGACGGUGAGGGAUGAAAGCUGGGGGAGCAAACCGGAUUAGAUACCCGGGUAGUCCCAGCUGUAAACGAUGCAGACUCGGUGAUGAGUUGGCUUUAUGCCAACUCAGUGCCGCAGGGAAGCCGUUAAGUUUGCCGCCUGGGGAGUACGGUCGCAAGACUGAAACUUAAAGGAAUUGGCGGGGGAGCAC